CGGAGGAUCCAAGCGUUAUCCGGAAUCAUUGGGUUUAAAGGGUCCGUAGGCGGCCCUGUAAGUCAGUGGUGAAAUCUCCCCGCUCAACGGGGAAACUGCCAUUGAUACUGCAGGGCUUGAAUUACCAGGAAGUAACUAGAAUAUGUAGUGUAGCGGUGAAAUGCUUAGAGAUUACAUGGAAUACCGAUUGCGAAGGCAGGUUACUACUGGUGGAUUGACGCUGAUGGACGAAAGCGUGGGUAGCGAACAGGAUUAGAUACCCUGGUAGUCCACGCCGUAAACGAUGGAUACUAGCUGUCGGGCCGCAAGGCUCGGUGGCUAAGCGAAAGUGAUAAGUAUCCCACCUGGGGAGUACGGGCGCAAGCCUG
rnacentral:rRNA from 1 species